rnacentral:lncRNA from 1 species
AACCUGGCACAUGUAUACAUAUGUAACUAACCUGCACGUUGUGCACAUGUACCCUAAAACCUAAAGUAUAAAAAAAGUUGGAGUGAGAAAAUACUAUCUGCAAGUUUAUGUAGUAAAACUCUACAAAGUUAAUCUUAAAAAAAAAAGCUGCAUCGUCUAUAGGGGGAUCCUCGUUUACAUUAACAGCAGCAAGAAAAAUGGAUGACAACCACUUUGAACCUCAGUUUUCUCAUUUGUAAAAAUGAGAACAAGAAUACUUAUCACCCAUAAAGAAUUGUCAUUAAGGUCAAAUAAGCAAAUGAAUAUGGGGCCAGAAAAUAUAGCUGACAAAAUGUAAGAUACUAAGCAGUGGAUGGAGCUGGAGGCCGUUAUUCUAAAUGAAGUAACUCACUUAUUAUUUGAAAACCAAAUAUUGUAUGUUCUCAGUUGUAAGUGGGAACCAAGCCAUGGGCAUGCAAAGGCAUACAGAGUGGUAUAAUGGACAUUGGAGACUCAGGAGUGGGUGGGGAGAGGAGAAGGAGGGAUAAAAAAACUACAUGUUGGGUACAAUGUAUACUACUCGGGGGGCUGUUACACUAACAUCUCAGAUUUCACCACUAUGCAAUUCAUUCAUGUAAUAAAAAACCACAUGUACCCUAAAAGCUAUUGAAAUAAAAAAAAUCUUAAAAAAACCAAUAUAUUAAGUGAUGUCCAUAAUAGGCAAAUGAUCAAAUGUGUGCCAGUUAUACUUUGGGGGAAUAAAGGGAAACAUGUUUAAUUGCAUAGGAUUUUUAAAUAGCUCUAUUUUUCUAAAAUGUAUCUUUCCUUAGUACCCUUCCCCUACAAAGGGGACUAUAUAAAUUUAGAAUCUUCUGUUUAAAGUUCCACAAAAAUGGUAUUUUUUCCUCUCCAGAAAAAAAAUACAGAAAAGCUGUUUCAAAACCAAAAUCUCCUUAUUUUCCCAGAAUAGAAUGAGGCAAGUAUUUAGUACUUUAUAUCUGUUAUUAGAUAGUAUAUUUUUAUUUCACUAUUUAUAUAAAAGCUAGAAAGCUCAGGAAAAACUGCUGAAGCUAUCUAUCAUGAAUGUAAUUUUCUUAGUCAAUAAAACCCAGAAGAAAUAGUAAACUCAAUAUCCUACAACAAAUACAUCUAGAAAAUAAGUUCUUUAUCAAAAUGCAUUCUUGCUUCCUUCAAGUAUGGUCUAAAGUGGUAAACUAUUAUCACAGGAGAAAACAACUAUUUUUGAGCCAUUAAUGUCUGACAGUUCCAGAAUGCAACAAUUAAAAAUUGUUACCAACUUGUGACAAUUCCAUUAUAUACAUGGCUAAAAAGUUUUCCUGGGAGAGUGUACAAAAUAUGUUACCAAACCUAUCAAAAGCAAGCCAUGCAAUAAAAAAUGACUGAAUAAUAAUAAUAAAAAAAAGACCCACACACAAAAGAAGAAAAAAAGAGAAGCCCUUUCGAAAUAGGGAAAACAUUUCAUAAAUUCCUUGAAGACAAGAUUUGGCUCUUAGAAAGCAUGCCUACCAUACAAUCAACGCUGUGCAUUGCUAUUACCAUCUUUUGCCUCAGUAACAGCUACUGAGCUAAAAGACUACUCCAGCUAAAAGACCACAGGUAACCUUUGCAGCUGACCUAUGAAACAAAGAUUUCCAAUUUCAGCUGUCACUUUCAUAGAGUAGCACAAUUAAAACAACAGAAACGCUUAACAUUUAAUUUUCUGAACAUCAGAUAUAAUGCUACAAAUGGGUGGGAAAUGCAAACUUGGGAAAACAAAUAAAUUAAUAAGGACAUGAAUGACUGUACUCAAUACCAAAUAUAUUAUUCUCAUUUUACAGAGGAAGAAACUAAAAUCGAGAGAGGUUAAUAAUUGUGCCCGAGGCUACACAGCUACUAAGCAAACCAGAUCUAUGCUCAAAGCCCAUGCAGGACUGUAACCACGGUGCAAGAUCAAUCCUCCUGCUUGGAGAACUGAUCCAACUCCACACCUGUAUCUUCAGGUUGGACUCGCUUCUUCAACCCAUGUACAUGUCCAGUAUUCCUUCAUCAUUGACAAAUACCUUCCUUUGACUUUACUGAUUCUCUGACUACCACCUUUUCAAUGAAGAAAGACUUCCCUGGCCAGGUGCCAUCCCUCGGUGCUUCCACGGUUACUGACGCGUGUAUUCUCCACAGCAAUUACAACUGGAUCAAAAUCAUGGAUCUACAUGCCCAUUUCACCCACUAGACUGUGACGUCAGAGUCGGUGACAUUGCCUUCAACAUCUCCGUAUGCUCAUUACCCAGGGUGGUGCUUUCUACAGAAGGUCCUCAAUCCAUCCUCCUUGAAAUGAAUGGAAACCAACCGGCAUGUGUAAUGAAUGGUUCCAAAAGAGAAUGCUCUAGGAGUGCAGCUUGGGAUGCUAGGAACACACUCCGGUCUGGAGCCCAGCUCACUCCCUGGUUCAUGGUGGAUGUCCAAAAAUAGGCAUGAAAACGAGUGAAGCGAGAAUAUGUACUUCUCAAUUCUCAAGUUAUUAUUGGUGACACCCACCACCUAGUACCAGAUCUCAGGAGGCUGAGAUGGAAAGUUAUGGGAAACUUUGUACCUCUUGCCAGUUGAAUUCAUGACACCCAAUUUUAAAUCUUUUUUCGGCCCCAAAUUUGCCCACAUGACCUAUUUCUAUUGUAACUGCCACUGGAACUUUUGACCAGGGUAAAUCUUGUGCCUUCUUCCAGUGCCUCCUGCUCCCCUCAUCAGUCCCCAUCUGUCCUCUAACCAUGCUGACUUCUGUCCAAACUGCUUCUGGACUGGCCCUGGCAUAGACCUGCAUUAGAGAUGCAAGGCAGCAAGGUGUUUAUUUAUUUAGUUAGUUAGGAAAACAGAACAAAUUCUGGGAUGUAAUGAGAAAUGACAUACACAUAAGAGGCUUAUGACCAAAAUACGUUAAUACUCAUUGCAAAAGAAGUUCUACUUUUUAGCUUUACAUUUGAAGGCUUUAAAAAUAUGUCUGAGAGUGCUAUAGAGAGUUAUACUUUCUUCCUCCCCAUGUGACCUAAACCUCCAAUUCAGCUGCUUAAAUAGCUGACACCGACCCUAAAAUGGAAAGCUCAUAUUACAGAGGAGAAAUAUG